AUUGAACGCUGGCGGCAGGCCUAACACAUGCAAGUCGAACGAGUGGCGGACGGGUGAGUAAUGUAGGUGAAACUGCCUGAUGGAGGGGGAAAACUACUGGAAACGGUAGCUAAUACCGCAUACCAUCGGAUGUGCCCAGAUGGGAUUGGUUAGUAGGUGGGGUAAAGGCGCACCUAGGCGACGACCCCUAGCUGGGCUGAGAGGAUGACGAGCAACACUGGAACUGAGACACGGUCCAGACUCCUACGGGAGGAGGCAGUGGGGAAUUUGGAACAAGGGGCGAAAGCCUGAUGCAGCCAUGCCGCGGGUAGGAAGAAGGCCUUCGGGUUGUAAAGUACUUUCAGCGGGGAGGCGUUACCCGAAGAAGAAGCACCGGCUAACUCCGUGCCAGCAGCCGCGGUAAUUC
rnacentral:rRNA from 1 species